AUGACCUGGGUCAGCUGUGAAGAUCUCACUGCAUUACAGAGAGAAGAGUUCAGUCCAGAAGGCAGCUCUGUUACUCUCUCCUACAGAUACACCAAAACUAUAACGGCUAGUGAAGAUUUCUUCUGGUAUCGACAAUAUCCAGGAAAACCACCAGAGUUUCUUCUCUACAUCUCAGGAACAAGUUUUACAAGUCUAGCAGAGUCUCUGAAAUCAGACACAAAGUUGUCUUCUAAACUGUCUGCAGGGAAGAACAUAGAUUUGAUCAUCUCCUCUGCUGCAGUGACAGACUCUGCUGUGUUCUACUGUGCUGUGAGGCCCACAGUGACAGGAAACACCAACACUCUGUACAAAAACACCAGCUGA